rnacentral:lncRNA from 7 species
GAGCGCAUGCCGACCACGUGGGUAGGAGACACAGUGAGGGAGAUCACGGCAUGAGUGCCACCGCGACAAAAUUUACUGGUCACGGUGGCCGCCGGUGAGGAUUCCGGUUGGACUCGGGGAAUGGCGCCACAUACGAGUUAUCCAUCCCCGGCAUUAUCCGCUCCUCACCGGGCACGAAUCAGGACGGCGGCGGCACGAAUCGCGGCGGGGAUCGUCGGCGGCGAGUUGAGCUGGCGUCCUAAUCCUUUCAGAUACUGUACCAUGGCGUCCUUCAUUCAGUUGGCCUGAUAGCCCAAGUUUAGGGUUAAAUUUCUCUUAAUUUUCUGUGGCAACAUACCUAGAGUUCUGCAGCAAAGUUGUAGACCAAAGAUUCAGCUAUAAUUUUGCCACAACAACUAUAGCCAAAUUCCUACUGCAUCAUGUUUGAAUUUGUACCCAAAGUUUCUGUGGUUACACUGUCAGUCUGAAAUUCAGACUUCAACAGCUUGUCACCCCAACUUUGGGUGAGUUUUUCUUCCAUUUCUUCAUAACAACCAUGCUUACACUCUUAAGCAAAGUUGUUCUCCUUUGAUAGGUCUACAAAUUUGAUGUGGUGACCUA